rnacentral:rRNA from 1 species
GACGAACGCUGGCGGCGUGCUUAACACAUGCAAGCCGAACGGGCCCGCCCCUGUUUUUGGGGGUGGGUUGAGUGGCGAACGGGUGAGUAUCACGUGAGUAACCUGCCCCCUGCUCCUGGAUAACUGCUUGAAAGGGCGGCUAAUACGGGGUGUGCCGGCUGGUCCGCAUGGGCCUGGUCGGGAUAGUUUCAUCUUCGGGUGUUUCGGUGGGGGAUGGGCUCGCGGCCUAUCAGCUUGUUGGUGGGGUGAUGGCCCACCAAGGCGGUGACGGGUAGCCGGCCUGAGAGGGUGGGCGGCCACACUGGGACUGAGACACGGCCCAGACUCCGGCGGGAGGCAGCAGUGGGGGGUAUUGCACAAUGGGCGGAAGCCUGAUGCAGCGACGUCGCGUGAGGGAUGGAGGCCUUCGGGUGGUGAACCUCUUUCUCCGGUGGUGAAGGCCCUGUCCGUUGCGGCGGGGUUGACGGUAGCCGGGUAUGAAGCGCCGGCUAACUACGUG